AUUGGACUGCAAACAAACUUAGAUUACAUGAUAUAAGAGAAACUCUUCUGAAAUACAAAUACCUAUUUAUGUGUGUAUAGGAAAAACACAAAUUUAUAUUGUUCCCACUACUCACUGAUUUAUUGCACUGAUGAUCACUUUGUUUUUAUGUGCAUUUAGUUUAAAUUUACUAUAGGAAGUAUUAAUUAUGUAUCACUGUGAACACUUCUUCUUCCUGGUAUAAUCGUACAUUUAUUGAAGAGAAAUUUAAUCAACAAAUAGUAACAGCUGAUCAUUGUGAUUUCAUUAUCCGUGCCUUUCAAAUACAGACAUGCUUUCCUGAAGUAUAACUAAUCUUCCUUAACCCUAGGACUGUGAAGUUAUGCAUAUAAGGAGACAAAGUUAUUUCAAAGUUCGACCCCAGGAAAGAGAGAAAGAAGAUCUAAAACCUUUACCUUUUCUCCC